UUUUUACAUCUCUCUCUCUCUCUCUCUCUCUCUCUCUCUCUCUCUCUAAAAAUAUCAUUUUCUCUCCCUUCUCUCUAAAAACCUCCACCAAACACCAAAAACUCUUGAUCUUUUCCAAUCCAUUGGAAUUUUGAUCCUUAUUCCUUCACCAAAGUUGGAUAACUUCUCGAGGGCUACGUUUUGGGCGGUGGAGAUCAAGCUUUAACACCACUGAAUUUGAGGGUUUCAUCUCAUUCUCCUUCAAAUUUGAGGAAAAGGCGUGGCGAAUCCGCCAAACUAGGGCAUGGAUGUAUGUGUUGAGAGUACAAGGCUCUAUUUUUGUUGUGACUGUAUUUUUUGUAAGCCAAAGGCUAUAAUUGUAUAGGUUUGAGAAAUCAUGUUUUGUGUAACCAGACUUAAGCCUUGGAACUUGUAAGUCCGUGAGGGCAUUUAUUUAUUUUUGACUAAAUAUUCUACAUGAUAUAGAUUCAUGUGCUAGAUUUCAUUAAAUGUAUAUCCGCAUGUAGAACUAUUUUGUUCAAACCUCAUGAUCGUUUAAUGCAAGCAUUGGAGAUUUA